rnacentral:rRNA from 1 species
UACGAAGGGGGCUAGCGUUGUUCGGAAUUACUGGGCGUAAAGCGCGCGCAGGCGGCUAUCCAAGUCAGUGGUGAAAGCCCGGAGCUCAACUCCGGAACUGCCAUUGAAACUGUUUAGCUUGAGGAUGGGAGAGGUGAGUGGAAUUCCCAGUGUAGAGGUGAAAUUCGUAGAUAUUGGGAAGAACACCGGUGGCGAAGGCGGCUCACUGGCUCAUUACUGACGCUCAGGCGCGAUAGCGUGGGGAUCAAACAGG